ACGGUAACAGGAUGUGCUUGCACAUCGCUGACGAGUGGCGGACGGGUGAGUAAUGCUUGGGAACUUGCCUUUGCGAGGGGGAUAACAGUUGGAAACGACUGCUAAUACCGCAUAAUGUCUUCGGACCAAACGGGGCUCCGGCUCCGGCGCAAAGAGAGGCCCAAGUGAGAUUAGCUAGUUGGUAAGGUAACGGCUUACCAAGGCGACGAUCUCUAGCUGUUCUGAGAGGAAGAUCAGCCACACUGGGACUGAGACACGGCCCAGACUCCUACGGGAGGCAGCAGUGGGGAAUAUUGCACAAUGGGGGAAACCCUGAUGCAGCCAUGCCGCGUGUGUGAAGAAGGCCUUCGGGUUGUAAAGCACUUUCAGUUGUGAGGAAAAGUUAGUAGUUAAUACCUGCUAGCCGUGACGUUAACAACAGAAGAAGCACCGGCUAACUCCGUGCCAGCAGCCGCGGUAAUACGGAGGGUGCGAGCGUUAAUCGGAAUUACUGGGCGUAAAGCGCACGCAGGCGGUUUGUUAAGCUAGAUGUGAAAGCCCCGGGCUCAACCUGGGAUGGUCAUU
rnacentral:rRNA from 1 species